rnacentral:lncRNA from 1 species
CUCUCAUUGGCAAACAUGACAUUUCAGCAAUUUCUCUAAAGAGGAAUGACUGGGGGGUAUGUACAGCAGGCAUCAUGUAAGAAAAACUCACACCUCACGACAUAUUUGUUUGAUUUAUUCAGCAGACUUCAGCAAAGGAAAGAUGUGAAAGCAACCCUUGAUUGUUGAUUUUUUGUUCAUUCUGAAAAUCACAUCGCCAGAUCCAACACCUUUUUAUCCCAAUCACCAGUACAAGCCACCCGUAUCAGUGUACACUGUGGCUGACCGAUCCAUAGUGAUGCUUUGAGCACAAGGAAGGACUUUCUGGAAUCUACUUAUCUGACCAAGAAAGCUUCUUUCCAAAAGAAAUGCAAUUGUCUUGAGACUUCUUCCCUAGGGAUCUGAUCAACUAACCAGAAAAGAGCAACCACCAGAGAAGAGACUUAUUUUUCAGAUCCUGAAUUCGCAGAAUGGCUGACAUCAGCCUGUCUGAAGACCCCCACCAAAGACCUGACUCAGCACAGGAAUGCAGUUUCGUCUUCCUGUCCCAUAAUUUCACCCCUCACUUCUCAACCAAUCAGUGAUCCCCGCAAUACCCAUCACCUGGCCAGGCCCUUUAAAAUCCCUAACCACAAACCCCUCAGGGAGGCAGAUUUGAGGUUUCCUCCGGUCUCUUCAAUUGACUGCAUGAUGAUUGAUUAUUAAACUCUUUCUCUGCUGCAACCCCCAGUGUCUCCAUAUAUUGACUCACUGCAUCGGGCAAAGGACUCGUUAUGGUUAUAGUAUGCAGCCAGUCCUGACUGGCUCUUCAGGGAAGAAGCUGAGGGAAUACUUUUCCUAAACCUCCCUCUGUUUCUUCACUCUGAUAUUCUGCUGGUCCUUCCUAUUGACUGAACCCAGCCAGAAUGUCAAGAGGCAAAGGAGCUUGUUGAUCCAGUUCAUGGAGGUCAGCCUGCUGCAAGAUAGGGAUAAGGGGAAACUAGAGAUCACUAACGUGAUUCAUAUUAGGAUACCUCCUUCAUAAGCUUUAAUGGUUUAAAUCUGAGUGUACUUGUAGUACAUCUGAACAUAGUAUUUAUUCUACCCAAAAUGCCUCUUAAUUCUCCAGUCUUCUAAGUCACAGCAACCUCCCCUCUGCUAACCCAAGCUCCAUCUGGCUAAAGGUCUAGUUCAAGACUUAAAUCAAGUGUUCCCUCCCUGAGAAGGUAGGGUCUGUUUGUGUCUAUUCCUGAUGACUAGCUAAACCAGUUAGAAUUAAGAUCGGCUGCAUAAAGAAAAACACCUAAAAGGAGAAUGGCUUAAAUGUGAUAGAAGUUUAUUCCUUACUUAUGUAAAUUUGAUCUACUUAGAAAAACCUACAAAUCUCAAAUAUUUGUCCUGUAGAAAAUGAAUGAACUCACCCCAUGUACUAGGAUCCCAGGUUGAAGCAGAGUUGGUCUACGAAGCUCAUAGUCAGCUCACAACUUGAAGAUGGAGAAAAAAAACUAGUUUCUACAGGCUUGUAAUAAUGUCCAAAGAAUAAUAUAAAUUAAAAAAUGUAAUAAGAAUAAUGGUGGGAGAAAAGGACUUGAGAAACAUUGCAAACACAUUUUUUUAAUAGUAUACAAGAAAUGUAGAGAAAAGGGGAUCUAGUCAUGCCAACUCUUUGAAAGCAGCUCUCCAAAUGAUUUCUUCUCCAAUAAGGGUAACCAUUGCCCAAUUAUAUGGUUCUCCAGUUACAAGUACAUUAGAGGAACUGGCACAGGAGGAUAGGAAGAUUUCUGCUAAUGAUGGUCAGUGUUUUCAAACUACAUAAAACCUUGAGUAAUAGUUGAAUGGAGACCCAUUUACCAGUUAACUUGGCUAAUUGUACUAACUGCCAAGUAAAUGGGGAUACUGUAGCCCUGCAACCAGACAUCACAAACAGCAGAAUCAUCUAUUCUUUGGUCAAGUAAUAUUGGACUUUAUUUGAAAAAGAGGUAACACUCAGAGAGAUAUCUUGCUAUCUGCUGUUACUGCCCUGGAUUUUAUCCAAUUAUGUUGGCUACUUCAUUUCAGUACUAAUUUCAAGAAUGUGCUAUUCAAAGGACUGAGAGGAGAGAGAAAGAGCUGUGUCACAGCUUAAUUCUCAAAAAGAUAACUUCAGAGCAAGUUAAAUUCCAUUUAAAAAUGAAUAUUACAGACAAUCAUUUUGGAGGAACUAAUUUUGCUCAUUAGUAUUUUUUCAGUGACUCUUACAAUGAUGGGGGCACUUUGUAUGAAUACUGUGAUUAUACUCUGGAAUGUGGUUGGGAUUUUGUCAGUGGGCUAAACACUUCUGCUGUGGCUUUCGUGAUGGCUCUUGCUCCUGCUAUUGCUCUCUCCAUUCCUUCCCACCCCAAUUCCCCAAAAUUCUGCUUAUACCUCAUAUUGAGUAAUAUACAGAGUUUUAAAAAUUAUUUUUUUUGUGGAGAAGUAAUCUAAAUAUAGCUUCUGGAAGAAAAUAAUUUGAACUCUCAGGAGAGAGAAAGGAGGUUGAAUAUUUAGAUAGGUUCAUACUCGAACACCAACUUUAUUAGCUUAUGAGAAUCCAAGAAAGAAAGGAAAGAAAAGAAAGGAAGAAAGGGAGAGAGGAAGGAAGGAAGGACAAGAGUAAGGAUGAGUGGGAUGGAGAGAGAGAAGAAAGAAAAAUAUCCUUCAAAUCACAGGAAUGUUUGUGAACAACUAACUCAGUGAACUGAUCCUGACCAGUACUAUGGCAUUUGAGAUUCGAGAUAGCAAUCAUAUCAUAACUUUUGAAAGAUAUUUUACAAAUCAAUAAAGCAAAACUUUCAAAGAGAAAUGUAACAUUGCUCCAUAACAUUUAGACAUUUAUUUGGUAGAAUUCUGAAGAAUUUAAUUCAAUUGGCAGAGACUUAACACAGUAUACCUAUCCAUUAAAUCUGAAGAGAAGAGAUGAGAAUAAAAUUCUAACUAGAUUUUUUACUGCUUUUGUUGCCAUAAAAGGAAAAUAUAUCUCUCUACUGAUUCAACACUGUUGUAUGGCUUGUUUUAUAGAAGGGAAUUUAAAUUAGUCUUGACUAUGCAGGAGUUUUCUACAGGUGUUCCGGAAAAGAAGUAUGAAUUCUGGUUUAAAUGUUAGUUCCCAAAUAAAAAAGCACCAGGUUUGCUUUCAUAUGUCUUGGUGGAAAUUAGCUAGAAACAGUUUAUCUGUCCUUGAAAAAACAUUUUUAAAUUGGCUGUAAAGUUUCAUCUUCCAGAUGGGCAGCCUUAAGCGGGCCCUGCUGAGAUGGCACAUUAAAGGCCUAAAUAUGCCAUCCGUCUACACAUGAAUUCCCCAGGUUGUAAAUAUUUAAAGAGUUGCUGGUGUGUCACGAAAACAGAACUCCACCUUGUGUCUUUGUAGGAUGGUUUAUAAAUAAAUCUGUUUUCCACUUUUUCUUGUCUAAUCAUUUUUAUUUAAAGGAGCUGAGCCAGCUGCAUUUUAAGGGCUCACCAGUACCUUGAGCCACAUAGCUGAAUUACAUCACCAUUAGAAGCUACAAAUAGCUGCCAUUGUGUUCUGUGGAUGCUACCAAUACUCAUUCAUGUUUCCAGUAGAAAACACUGCUCUCUCUUAUGGACAUAAAAUGAUACCACUUGCUCAGCAGUGAGACUAUAGUUAUAUUCACUCAUUCACGUGCAAACACUGUUCUAGGCUCUGUUAAGUACUGAGUCUACAAAAACAAUACUAGCAAUCAUGAUAAUGAUAAUAUUUAUAUCAACAGCUAAGCAACCACUGUCACCAUUGAGUAACCACUGUGUGGUAGGCAUAGCCUUUUACUUAGUGCUUAUGUAGGAUUUUAUUUAAUCCUGUCCAAAAGUCUUUGAGAUGGAUAUAACCUCAGAUUUAUAGAUAUGAAUUCUUCAGCUCAAAGGCAAUAAUGUUAUUAUUGCCAUACAAUGGUCAACCAUAGAACUAAGAUAUGUUCUUCUAACUGGAAACUUACUGUAUUUUUCUAUUCAUUUUAAACAAGUCAGUUACAUUGAUUAUAAGGAAGGCACUUCCAUCUGAGACAGAUUGACCCACAUUGAAUUAUGACAGACGGAUCCCAAAGGCUAUAGCUAUAUAGGGGAAGGAUGACUGCUAGGUGCAAAAAAAUAGGAGAAGGCAGAUGAGAGAAAGCAAAGUGUAUUGAUUCAAUGAGGAAUGCUAUGCAUAAUGAAAGAUACAGAGUGAUACCAAUCUAAGUCUUCAUCCGGAUUUCUUCAAAGUUUUAGACUCCAGAAUUACCAAAGACUUCCUUUUAAUUCUGGACAACAACAGAAAGACUUGCUGCUGCUUAUUGAGUGCUAACUCUGUAUUAGGAACUGUACCAAGCGCUUACAUACUCCAUUCAAUUCAAUCCUACCAAAUGCAGUUCUGUGAGGUAAGUAUAUGUGCUCCUAUGGUUUACUAAGCCUUGGUAAGAUAAAGUGGCUGCUUUAAGUUCAUAUAGUUUGUAAUUGCAGACCCAGGAUUUGAAUCCAGUCAAUGCUCUUCACCACUACACCUACUGCUUCCUAUGUAACUAUAUAACUAAGACAGGAGAAGAGUUAUUUGACACAGAAUUAUAUUCUACCCUUGACUUAAUCUCUAUCAUCCUGAGACAUUUCAGAUAGGAAUCCAACA